rnacentral:rRNA from 1 species
UGGGGAAUCUUGCGCAAUGGGCGAAAGCCUGACGCAGCGACGCCGCGUGCGGGAAGAAGGCCUUCGGGUUGUAAACCGCUUUCAGGAGGAACGAAGCCACUCGGGUUAAUAGCCCAGAGGGUGACGGUACCUCCAGAAGAAGCCCCGGCUAACUACGUGCCAGCAGCCGCGGUAAUACGUAGGGGGCAAGCGUUGUCCGGAUUCAUUGGGCGUAAAGAGCGUGUAGGCGGCCAGGUAGGUCGGUUGUGAAAACUGGAGGCUCAACCUUCAGAGGUCGACCGAAACCAUCUGGCUAGAGUCCGGGAGAGGAGAGUGGAAUUCCUGGUGUAGCGGUGAAAUGCGCAGAUAUCAGGAAGAACACCCGUGGCGAAAGCGGCUCUCUGGAACGGUACUGACGCUGAGACGCGAAAGCGUGGGGAGCGAACAGGAUUAGAUACCCUGGUAGUCCACGCCGUAAACGAUGGGCACUAGGUGAGGGAGGUGUCGACUCCUUCCGUGCCGAAG